CUGGCUAUGGCGCAGCUUGGUAGCGCGCUUGCUUCGGGAGCAAGAGGUCCCCGGUUCAAAUCCGGGUAGCCAGACCA
rnacentral:tRNA from 1 species